rnacentral:rRNA from 1 species
CCCUUAGAUGUCCUGGGCUGCACGCGCGCUACACUGAGUGUCUGAGAUACGAGUCUGCCUGGUCCGGCAAGGUCUAGGUAAUCGCUAAAAGACACAUCAUGCUUGGGAUAGAUUAUUGCAAAUAUUAAUCUUGAACGAGGAAUUCCUAGUAAGCGCAAGUCAACAGCUUGCGUUGAUUACGUCCCUGCCCUUUGUACACACCGCCCGUCGCUACUACUGAUUGGAUGUUUAAGCGAGGUUCUCGAACUGCUAGCGACUUAGCUUCGGUGAGGUCGCAGUGUGGGAAGUGAACCGAGCUUUGGUGUCUAGAGGAAGUAAAAGUCGUAACA